rnacentral:rRNA from 1 species
AUACGUAGGGGGCGAGCGUUGUCCGGAUUUACUGGGCGUAAAGGGUGAGUAGGCGGUUAUAUGUGUCAGAUGUAAAAGGCUAUGGCUUAACCAUAGUUAGCAUUUGAAACUGUAUGACUUGAGUGGAGGAGAGGUAAGUGGAAUUCCUAGUGUAGCGGUGAAAUGCGUAGAUAUUAGGAGGAACACCAGUGGCGAAGGCGACUUACUGGACUGUAACUGACGCUGAGUCACGAAAGCGUGGGUAGCAAACAGGAUUAGAUACCCUGGUAGUCCACGCUGUAAACGAUGAGUGCUAGGUGUUGGCCAGCGAUGGUCAGUGCCGCAGUAAACACAUUAAGCACUCCGCCUGGGGAGUACGGUCGCAAGACUGAAACUCAAAUGAAUUGACGGGG